GACGAACGCUGGCGGCGUGCCUAAUACAUGCAAGUCGAACGCAGUGGGGACGGGUGAGUAACACGUGGGUAACCUCCCAUCAGAGGGGAUAACACUUGGAAACAGGUGCUAAACCGCUACUGAUGGAUGGACCCGCGGUGCAUUAGCUAGUUGGUGAGGUAACGGCUCACCAGGGCCACGAUGCAUAGCCGACAGGGGGGGGUGAUCGGCCACACGGGGACGAAGACACGGCCCAGACUCCUACGGGAGGCAGCAGUAGGGAAUCGUCGGCAAGGGACGAAAGUCUGAACGAGCAACGCCGCGUGAGGGAAGAAGGUUUUCGGAUCGUAAAACUAUGUGGUUAGAGAAGCGGAAUCUAACCAGAAAGCCACGGCUAACUACGUGCCAGCAGCCGCGUAAUUC
rnacentral:rRNA from 1 species